CAUGUCUUUUUGAUUUUAAUUUAAGGUCUAAUCUGCUCAAUGAAUAUUUUAAAUUGCCGCAGUAUUUUAACUGUGCAAAGGUAGCAUAAUAAUUAGUUUUUUAAUUAAAAACUGGAAUGAAUGAUUGGACGAGAAAGUUACUGUCUCUUUUUAAUUGAGUAUUGAAUUUUAUUUUUAAGUAAAAAAGCUUAAAUUUAGAUAAAAGACGAGAAGACCCUAUAGAGUUUAAUAUUUAAUUUUUUAUUAGGUUUUGGAAAUUUAUUUGAAAAUAAAUAUUUAAUUGGGGUGAUUUGAAGAUUUAGUUAAUUCUUUAAUAUAUUAAUUGUUGAUAAAUAAUUUUGAAAUCUAUAUUUUUAAAAAUAAUAUAAAUUACCUUAGGGAUAACAGCGUUAUUUUUCUUUAAAGUUCUUAUUAAAAGAAAAGUUUGCGACCUCGAUGUUGGAUUAAAAUUAAUUUUUGGGGCAGUUUCUUAAAAAUUAGGUCUGUUCGACCUUUAAAAUU
rnacentral:rRNA from 1 species